CCGGUUCCAAUAUCCAAAAAACGAAUCGUUUUAUAUUACGAUCCGUUACAAUAUCUACGAAUCGUAGGACAAAAUAGUUCCUAUAAAAACGACUCGUUUUUAAAAUUACUGAUGACUUGCUACUAACGGAUGGGAGGGCUAACAUAACGGUUCGUACUGCGUUUUGUAUGGAGACUGUUGUCUGUAGUGUUCCUAUAUUAUUUUAGAAAUGUCAGUGAGCUGUCACAACUACGACGCGUAGAGCAUUUUUUAACCUACCGAUUUUGUUCGGUUGUGCUUUGGAAUUUUUGUGUUUGUGUUUUUUCUUUUAAAAUGUCGAGUUCAGAAAGUGAUAACGAAGUUUUAAUGUUACUGAAUUCAAGCGACGAUUCAAGUGAUGAUACGCGAAGUAAUAGAGUGUAUAAAACAAGAAUCAAUUAUUAUUCAGAGCUCGAUAAUCAGGAGUUUCAACUAAGAUUUCGGCUCGACAAGCAGUCUGUGCAAUUACUGUUAGGUGAAAUUUAUCCUUUUUUAAAGGAAUCAUGGAAUAUCUCCCUUACAUUACAAUUUAUCAGUUUUUUUUGGUAUUUUGGCGCGGUCCGGCCGACAUCUGGCGUUUCCUUUGUCUCUUCAUGGCGUUUUGUUCACUUUACAGUUAAAACUAAAGUAACUGUUUUUAAAUUGUGAAUAUUCAAAUAAAAUUACAUAUGUGAUGAAUUACAAUUAAUUUAUAUUAUUUUAAAAUAUUUAUGUAAAAAUACUAAUAAAAACUUAUGUAUUUUGAAAA